rnacentral:rRNA from 1 species
GACGAACGCUGGCGGCGUGCUUAACACAUGCAAGUCGAACGGAAAGGCCCUGCUUUUGUGGGGUGCUCGAGUGGCGAACGGGUGAGUAACACGUGAGUAACCUGCCCUUGACUUUGGGAUAACUUCAGGAAACUGGGGCUAAUACCGGAUAGGAGCUCCUGCCGCAUGGUGGGGGUUGGAGAGUUUCGGCGGUUGGGGAUGGACUCGCGGCUUAUCAGCUUGUUGGUGGGGUAGUGGCUUACCAAGGCUUUGACGGGUAGCCGGCCUGAGAGGGUGACCGGCCACAUUGGGACUGAGAUACGGCCCAGACUCCUACGGGAGGCAGCAGUGGGGAAUAUUGCACAAUGGGCGGAAGCCUGAUGCAGCAACGCCGCGUGCGGGAUGACGGCCUUCGGGUUGUAAACCGCUUUCGCCUGUGACGAAGCGUGAGUGACGGUAAUGGGUAAAGAAGCACCGGCUAACUACGUGCCAGCAGCCGCGGUGAUACGUAGGGUGCGAGCGUUGUCCGGAUUUAUUGGGCGUAAAGGGCUCGUAGGUGGUUGAUCGCGUCGGAAGUGUAAUCUUGGGGCUUAACCCUGAGCGUGCUUUCGAUACGGGUUGACUUGAGGAAGGUAGGGGAGAAUGGAAUUCCUGGUGGAGCGGUGGAAUGCGCAGAUAUCGGGAGGAACACCAGUGGCGAAGGCGGUUCUCUGGGCCUUUCCUGACGCUGAGGAGCGAAAGCGUGGGGAGCGAACAGGCUUAGAUACCCUGGUAGUCCACGCUGUAAACGGUGGGUACUAGGUGUGGGGUCCAUUCCACGGGUUCCGUGCCGUAGCUAACGCUUUAAGUACCCCGCCUGGGGAGUACGGCCGCAAGGCUAAAACUCAAAGGAAUUGACGGGGCCCCGCACAAGCGGCGGAGCAUGCGGAUUAAUUCGAUGCAACGCGUAGAACCUUACCUGGGUUUGACAUGGAUCGGGAGUGCUCAGAGAUGGGUGUGCCUCUUUUGGGGUCGGUUCACAGGUGGUGCAUGGCUGUCGUCAGCUCGUGUCGUGAGAUGUUGGGUUAAGUCCCGCAACGAGCGCAACCCUUGUUCACUGUUGCCAGCACGUUAUGGUGGGGACUCAGUGGAGACCGCCGGGGUCAGCUCGGAGGAAGGUGGGGAUGACGUCAAGUCAUCAUGCCCCUUAUGUCCAGGGCUUCACGCAUGCUACAAUGGCUGGUACAGAGAGUGGCGAGCCUGUGAGGGUGAGCGAAUCUCGGAAAGCCGGUCUCAGUUCGGAUUGGGGUCUGCAACUCGACCUCAUGAAGUCGGAGUCGCUAGUAAUCGCAGAUCAGCAACGCUGCGGUGAAUACGUUCCCGGGGCU